GACGAACGCUGGCGGCGUGCUUAACACAUGCAAGUCGAACGGAAAGGCCCUGCGUUUGUGGGGUUCUCGAUUGCCGCGCGGGUGAGUAACACGUGAGUAACCUGCCCUUAACUUUGGGAUAACUUCAGGGAACUGGGGCUAAUACCGGAGAUGAUCUCCUGCUGCAUGGGGUGGGUUGGUAAGUGUCGGCGGUUGGGGAUGGACUCGCGGCUUAUCAGCUUGUUGGUCGGGUAGUGGCUUACCAAGGCUUUGACGGGUAGCCGGCCUGAGAGGGUGACCGGCGACAUUGGGACUGAGAGACGGCCCAGACUGCUACGGGAGGCAGCAGUGGGGAAUAUUGCACAAUGGGCGGAAGCCUGAUGCAGAAACGCCGCGUGCGGGAUGACGGCCUUCGUGUUGUAAACCGAUUUCGCCUGUGACGAAGCGUGAGUGACGGUAAUGGGUAAAGAAGCCCCGGCUAACUACGUG
rnacentral:rRNA from 1 species